rnacentral:rRNA from 1 species
GACGAACGCUGGCGGCGUGCUUAACACAUGCAAGUCGAACGGAAAGGCCCUGCUUUUGUGGGGUGCUCGAGUGGCGAACGGGUGAGUAACACGUGAGUAACCUGCCCUUGACUUUGGGAUAACUUCAGGAAACUGGGGCCAAUACCGGAUAGGAGCUCCUGCUGCAUGGUGGGGGUUGGAAAGUUUCGGCGGUUGGGGAUGGACUCGCGGCUUAUCAGCUUGUUGGUGGGGUAGUGGCUUACCAAGGCUUUGACGGGUAGCCGGCCUGAGAGGGUGACCGGCCACAUUGGGACUGAGAUACGGCCCAGACUCCUACGGGAGGAAGCAGUGGGGAAUAUUGCACAAUGGGCGGAAGCCUGAUGCAGCAACGCCGGGUGCGGGAUGACGGCCUUCGGGUUGUAAACCGCUUUCGCCUGUGACGAAGCGUGAGUGACGGUAAUGGGGAAAGAAGCACCGGCUAACUACGU